UACGUAGGGUGCGAGCGUUGCCCGGAUUUAUUGGGCGUAAAGGGCGCGUAGGCGGCUCGGCACGUCCGUUGUGAAAUCGCCCGGCUCAACUGGGCGGGGUCAGCGGAUGCGGUCGAGCUUGAGCAAGCUAGGGGGCAAUGGAAUUCCCGGUGUAGUGGUGGAAUGCGUAGAUAUCGGGAGGAACACCAGUGGCGAAGGCGGUUGCCUGGAGCUUUGCUGACGCUGAGGCGCGAAAGCGUGGGGAGCGAUCCGG
rnacentral:rRNA from 1 species